rnacentral:rRNA from 1 species
GAUUCCCCUAGUAACUGCGAGUGAAGCGGGAAAAGCUCAAAUUUAAAAUCUGGCGGUCUUUUGGCUGUCCGAGUUGUAAUCUAGAGAAGUGUUAUCCGCGCUGGACCGUGUACAAGUCUCCUGGAAUGGAGCAUCAUAGAGGGUGAGAAUCCCGUCUUUGACAUGGACUGCCAGGGCUUUUGUGAUGCGCUCUCAAAGAGUCGAGUUGUUUGGGAAUGCAGCUCAAAAUGGGUGGUAAAUUCCAUCUAAAGCUAAAUAUUGGCGAGAGACCGAUAGCGAACAAGUACCGUGAGGGAAAGAUGAAAAGAACUUUGGAAAGAGAGUUAAACAGUACGUGAAAUUGCUGAAAGGGAAACGCUUGAAGUCAGUCGCGUCGUCCAGGGAUCAACCUUGCUUUUGCUUGGUGCACUUUCUGGUUUGACGGGUCAGCAUCAAUUUUGACCAUUGGAAAAAGAUCAAGGGAAUGUGGCAUCUUUGGAUGUGUUUAUAGCCCUUGGUCACAUACAAUGGUUCGGGAUUGAGGAACUCAGCAUGCCGCAAGGCCGGGUGUUUACACCACGUACGUGCUUAGGAUGUUGACAUAUAUAAUGGCUUUAAUCGACCCGUCUUGAAACACGGACCAAGGAGUCUAACAUGCCUGCGAGUGUUUGGGUGGAAAACCCGAGCGCGUAAUGAAAGUGAAAAGUUGAGAUCCCUGUCGUGGGGAGCAUCGACGCCCGGAUCAGACCUUUUGUGACGGUUCC